rnacentral:rRNA from 1 species
UACGAGUGCCUCAAGCGUUAUCCGGAAUCAUUGGGCGUAAAGGAUGUGUAGGUGGUUGUGUUAGUCUUUUGUUAAAUUCUUCGGCUUAACCGGGGACCUGCAAAGGAAACGGCACGACUAGAGGAUGCGAGGGGUCUGCGGAACUCAUAGUGUAGCGGUGAAAUGCGUUGAUAUUAUGGGGGAACACCAAAAGCGAAGGCAGCAGACUGGAGCACUCCUGACACUGAAACAUGAAAGCGUGGGUCGCGAAUGGG